UUACAGAAGAAGAAAUCAGACAAUGGUACAAAGGUUUUCUGAAAGAUUGUCCUGAGGGUCACCUUACAGAACAGAGUUUCCUCAAAAUAUACAAGCAGUUUUUUCCAGAAGGGGAUACAGCCACUUUCGCUUCGUCGGUGUUUAGGGUGUUCGACGAAAACAAGGUAGUUAUUAUUAAUCUGGUUGGUUGAAUAAUUAAUAAAUACCUCAAAGCUAAUGGAGUGUUAGAAGUAAUGACACGUAAGAGAACGAGCUUAAAUAUUGGACAGCUGUUUUGUUUUAGAACGUGCAAUUCUGAGGAAUCAAAACUAAAACACAACGGCUGAAACAGGAGCGUAGACACACGUACUGUCUUUUAAAAACGCACAUAUUGACAGUGCAUGUUUCAACUGUAAUGUUAUUGUUGAAUAUUUACAGAGUGAUGUUUUAUAUACCCGCAAUGUUAUAUUUCUAAUAAUGUAGAACGUAUCAAAAAUCAACCUGCAAAUAUAUGUGCAGUUUUAAAUUUUGACUUUA